rnacentral:rRNA from 1 species
UCGACGAAGCACUCUAUUCGAUUUUCUUCGGAGAUGAAGAUUUUGUGACUGAGUGGCGGACGGGUGAGUAACGCGUGGGUAACCUGCCUCAUACAGGGGGAUAACAGUUGGAAACGACUGCUAAUACCGCAUAAGCGCACGGUACCGCAUGGUACCGUGUGAAAAACUCCGGUGGUAUGAGAUGGACCCGCGUCUGAUUAGCUAGUUGGUGGGGUAACAGCCUACCAAGGCGACGAUCAGUAGCCGACCUGAGAGGGUGACCGGCCACAUUGGGACUGAGACACGGCCCAAACUCCUACGGGAGGCAGCAGUGGGGAAUAUUGCACAAUGGGGGAAACCCUGAUGCAGCGACGCCGCGUGAACGAAGAAGUAUUUCGGUAUGUAAAGUUCUAUCAGCAGGGAAGAUAAUGACGGUACCUGACUAAGAAGCACCGGCUAAAUACGUGCCAGCAGCCGCGGUAAUACGUAUGGUGCAAGCGUUAUCCGGAUUUACUGGGUGUAAAGGGAGCGCAGGCGGUGCGGCAAGUCUGAUGUGAAAGCCCGGGGCUCAACCCCGGUACUGCAUUGGAAACUGUCGUACUAGAGUGUCGGAGGGGUAAGUGGAAUUCCUAGUGUAGCGGUGAAAUGCGUAGAUAUUAGGAGGAACACCAGUGGCGAAGGCGGCUUACUGGACGAUAACUGACGCUGAGGCUCGAAAGCGUGGGGAGCAAACAGGAUUAGAUACCCUG